rnacentral:rRNA from 1 species
UUUUAUGGAGAGUUUGAUCCUGGCUCAGGAUGAACGCUGGCGGCGUGCCUAAUACAUGCAAGUCGAGCGAACGGAUGAGAAGCUUGCUUCUCUGAUGUUAGCGGCGGACGGGUGAGUAACACGUGGAUAACCUACCUAUAAGACUGGGAUAACUUCGGGAAACCGGAGCUAAUACCGGAUAAUAUUUUGAGCCGCAUGGUUCAAAA